AUACGGAGGGUGCGAGCGUUAAUCGGAAUUACUGGGCGUAAAGGGCGCGUAGGCGGACUAUCAAGUCAGGGGUGAAAGGCCUGGGCUCAACCCGGGAACUGCCUUUGAAACUGAAAGUCUAGAGACCGAGAGAGGAUAGCGGAAUUCCCAGUGUAGAGGUGAAAUUCGUAGAUAUUGGGAAGAACACCAGUGGCGAAGGCGGCUAUCUGGCUCGGUACUGACGCUGAGGCGCGAAAGCGUGGGGAGCAAACAGGAUUAGAAACCCCGGUAGUCC
rnacentral:rRNA from 1 species